UGGGGAAUAUUGCACAAUGGGCGCAAGCCUGAUGCAGCCAUGCCGCGUGUAUGAAGAAGGCCUUCGGGUUGUAAAGUACUUUCAGUCGGGAGGAAGGUGGUAAGGUUAAUAACCUUAUCAAUUGACGUUACCGACAGAAGAAGCACCGGCUAACUCCGUGCCAGCAGCCGCGGUAAUACGGAGGGUGCAAGCGUUAAUCGGAAUUACUGGGCGUAAAGCGCACGCAGGCGGUUGAUUGAGUCAGAUGUGAAAUCCCCGGGCUUAACCCGGGAAUUGCAUCUGAUACUGGUCAGCUAGAGUCUUGUAGAGGGGGGUAGAAUUCCAUGUGUAGCGGUGAAAUGCGUAGAGAUGUGGAGGAAUACCGGUGGCGAAGGCGGCCCACUGGACAAAGACUGACGCUCAGGUGCGAAAGCGUGGGGAGCAAACAGG
rnacentral:rRNA from 1 species